UACAGAGGUCCCAAGCGUUUGUUCGGAUUCACUGGGCGUAAAGGGUGCGUAGGCGGGUCUUUUAAGUCAGGGGUGAAAUCCUGGAGCUCAACUCCAGAACUGCCUUUGAUACUGAAGAUCUUGAGUUCGGGAGAGGUGAGUGGAACUGCGAGUGUAGAGGUGAAAUGCGUAGAUAUCGGAAGGAACACCUGUGGCGAAAAGCGGCUCACUGGACCAUUACUGACGCUGAGGCACGAAAGCUAGGGGAGCAAACAGG
rnacentral:rRNA from 1 species